UCAGAUCACUGGAGCUACUACCAGUGUGUGUGUGUGUGUGUGUGUGUGUGUGUGUGUGUGUGUGUGUGUACAUACAUAUAUACAUACGCACAUACAUACAUACAUAACAUACAUAACAUACAUACAUACAUACAUAC
rnacentral:miRNA from 1 species